GUCGAGCGAUGAAACUUUAACAGAACUCUUCGGAGUGAAGAUAAAGUGGAUUAGCGGCGGACGGGUGAGUAACACGUGAGUAACCUGCCUUAGACAUUGGGAUAGCCUCGGGAAACCGGGAUUAAUACCAAAUAAAAUCAUAAUGACACAUGUCAUAACGAUCAAAACUCCGGUGGUCUAAGAUGGACUCGCGUCCCAUUAGCUAGUUGGUAGAGUAAAAGCCUACCAAGGCGACGAUGGGUAGCCGGCCUGAGAGGGUGAACGGCCACAUUGGAACUGAGAAACGGUCCAAACUCCUACGGGAGGCAGCAGUGGGGAAUAUUGCACAAUGGAGGGAACUCUGAUGCAGCGACGCCGCGUGAACGAAGAGGGCUUUCGAGUCGUAAAGUUCUUUUAUAUGGGAAGAUAAUGACGGUACCAUAAGAAAAAGCCCCGGCUAACUACGUGCCAGCAGCCGCGGUAAUACGUAGGGGGCUAGCGUUGUCCGGAAUCACUGGGCGUAAAGGGUUCGCAGGCGGAAAUGCAAGUCAGAUGUAAAAGGCAGUAGCUUAACUACUGUAAGCAUUUGAAACUGCAUAUCUUGAGAAGAGUAGAGGUAAGUGGAAUUUUUAGUGUAGCGGUGAAAUGCGUAGAUAUUAAAAAGAAUACCGGUGGCGAAGGCGACUUACUGG
rnacentral:rRNA from 2 species